rnacentral:lncRNA from 1 species
GUCAGUUCAUUACUUAAACAUAUUUAACCUAAACAUUAAUUCUCAUAAAUAUUAAACUGAAAACAGUAACUUAAAAAUAAUCCUACAACCUUGUUAGAAAUUACUGAUUAGAAAAAUCUGGAUUUUCUGAAGUCUAGUAGUUACACCUUGUCUUACAAAUGCUCUUUGCUCUCCCUAGCAGACCAUGACAGCCUGAAGAUGCAGGCAAGACAUUACAAAACCUUGAGCAACAUGUAUAAGAAACCAAAUGCAAAACCCAACCAAAGUGACAUUGCUCAAAUUUUGGACCUGGAGUUUGAGGCCAGACGAGUUUUUAUUGAUGCAGAUGUUACAAGGGAAGAAGACAGGCCCAGAAAAAUAUUUGAAGCAUACCCGUGCUUCAAAGAUAUUCGAAAUGUAAGCCUAGCUACCUUCAAUUAAAUUCCUUGCUUUUCUCUGGAUAGGGUUCUUGACUAACUGAGCACAACUUUGUCAUAGGCGAUGGAUGAACUGUGUCGCAUCGUUGGUGGCUUCAACUGCAUAUACAUAGAUCAAAUGAAGGGUCGAUGGGCAGAGUUUUGUUCGAAAGUGCAGUUCUAUGGCAUUUGGAAGAAACCUCCUCUCCCCUUGGAUGUACGUGGAGGUAAGUGGCCUUUUCAUACAUUAAAUCCAUACAUCAGAUAUGUUCAGAGUACUUUAUUAAGAUACUUUUCUCUGUCCACAGUGGAGUUUACUGUCACUCUCUUCAAUACACUUCCAUCUCUUUUUCCUUCACCAACUACACCACCAAAGCGGCUGGGAAGUGCCAGUGAGGCUCUCCUUCAUAUCCUCAAGCCAGGUGAAGAUGCUAUGCUAUACCUGGAGAAGCGGCCUCUCUCCUCCCCAGUGCUGCUUUUUGAUGGGACAACCAGCAUUGUUGCUGUAGGAAACAUACCAGUGACCACUCUCCCCUUGGAGGAUUUCUGGGAAGGAAUGUUGGUGUUGAUGGCAUAUUACUACACCUUGCACUUAACAUACCCGAAAUGUGUUGCAACGGUCCUCUCUGUCGUACAGACUGAGGUAAUCACUGAUGCCAUCCAUGAUCAAGAUGCCCCUUGUGCAUACAAGAAAGCAAUAGCUGAGUGGAAGUCAUUCUUUGAAAAAUAGGUGAAUACCAAGCAGAAUUUUAUCAGGUCAUUUGCUGUUUGUUUAGUUUUGUAGUACGUUUGUACAACUUUGUUCCUAAUUUGCCUAGCAAUGUCCUGAGAAACUGCUUUACUUAUAAUGCCUUACAAAUGAAAGUUGUUUUUUUUUUUCUUAAUGACACUUUACCUGAGGCAUGUAAAGUUUUAAAUCAGUAAUGCCGUUAUUUACAACAUUGUGAGAUUAUGUGACUCUCACAAAAGUUUAAGGCCAAAAAUGUAAUUUUUUUUCUCUGUUUAGGCCUUUUAAAGGGUUGAUUUAGACUUUAGAGAUUGUGCAGCAGCCCUAUAUUGUUUUAAAAAAGGGUUUUGUUCUCAUGAGAGGAAUAAAUGUUGACAUAUAUCACUCUUGUCCUGGCUGU